GCGGCAUGCCUAACACAUGCAAGUCGAACGGGGUGUAGCAAUACAUCUAGUGGCGGACGGGUGAGGAAUACAUAGGAAUUUGCCCUUAAGUGGGGGAUAGUCCGGGGAAACUCGGUUUAAUACCGCAUGAUCUCGUGAGAGCAAAGCAGGGGACCGCAAGGCCUUGCGCUUUUGGAGAAGCCUAUGUCGGAUUAGCUAGUUGGUAGGGUAAUGGCCUACCAAGGCAACGAUCCGAACUGGUCUGAGAGGAUGAUCAGUCACACCGGAACUGAGACACGGUCCGGACUCCUACGGGAGGCAGCAGUGGGGAAUAUUGGACAAUGGGCGCAAGCCUGAUCCAGCAAUGCCGCGUGUGUGAAGAA
rnacentral:rRNA from 1 species